rnacentral:tRNA from 1 species
GGAGAGAGGGGGAUUCGAAACCUCGGUACGAAUUAUUCAUACAAAAGAUUAGCAAUCCGACGCUUUAGUCCACUCAGCCAUCUCUCC